UGAGGGAAUAUUGGGGUCAAUGGGGCGAGAGCCUGAACCAGCCAAGUAGCGUGAGGGACGACUGCCCUAUGGGUUGUAAACCUCUUUUGUUUGGGAAUAAAGUGCGGGACGUGUCCCGCAUUGCAUGUACCAUUUGAAUAAGGACCGGCUAAUUCCGUGCCAGCAGCCGCGGUAAUACGGAAGGUCCGGGCGUUAUCCGGAUUUAUUGGGUUUAAAGGGAGCGCAGGCCGUGGGCUAAGCGUGCCGUGAAAUUCUGUCGCUCAACGGCAGACGUGCGGCGCGAACUGGUCUUCUUGAGUACGCACAACGUGGGCGGAAUUCGUGGUGUAGCGGUGAAAUGCUUAGAUAUCACGAAGAACUC
rnacentral:rRNA from 1 species